CCUACGGGAGGCAGCAGUGAGGAAUAUUGGUCAAUGGUCGAGAGACUGAACCAGCCAAGCCGCGUGAGGGAUGACGGUACAAAGUGUUGUAAACCUCUUUUGUCGGGGAACAAAGGCCGGGACGUGUCCCCGGAUGAGUGUACCUGAAGAAAAAGCAUCGGCUAACUCCGUGCCAGCAGCCGCGGUAAUACGGGGGAUGCGAGCGUUAUCCGGAUUUAUUGGGUUUAAAGGGUGCGCAGGCGGUCUGUUAAGUCAGCGGUAAAAGUCCGGGGCUCAACCCCGUCCCGCCGUUGAAACUGGCAGUCUCGAGUUGGCGAGAAGUAUGCGGAAUGCGCGGUGUAGCGGUGAAAUGCAUAGAUAUCGCGCAGAACUCCGAUUGCGAAGGCAGCAUGCCGGCGCCACACUGACGCUGAGGCACGAAAGCGUGGGGAUCGAACAGGAUUAGAUACCCCAGUAGUC
rnacentral:rRNA from 1 species